rnacentral:rRNA from 1 species
AGUGAACGCUGGCGGUAGGCCUAACACAUGCAAGUCGAACGGCAGCACAGUAAGAGUUUGCUCUUACGGGUGGCGAGUGGCGGACGGGAGAGGAAUACAUCGGAAUCUACUCUUUCGUGUGGCAUAACGUAGGGAAACCUACGCUCAUACCGCAUCCGACCUACGGGUGAAAGCAGGGGAUCUUCGGACCUUGCGCGAUUGAAUGCGCCGAUGUUGGAUUAGCUAGUUGGCGGGGUAAAGGCCCACGAAGUCGACGAUCCGUAGCUGGUCUGAGAGGAUGGUCAGCGACACUGGAACGGGACCACGGACCAGAGUACUACGAGACGCAGCAGUGGGGAAUGUUGGGCAGUGGGCGCAAACCUGAUCCAGCCAUACCGCGUGGGUGGAGAAGACCUUGGGGUUGUAAAGCCCUUUUGUUGGGAAAGAAAAGCAGCAGGUUAAUACCCAGCUGUACUGACGGUAACCAAAGAAUAAGCACCGGCUAACUACGUG